rnacentral:rRNA from 1 species
CCUACGGGAGGCAGCAGUGAGGAAUAUUGGUCAAUGGACGCAAGCCUGAACCAGCCAUGCCGCGUGCAGGAAGACGGCUCUAUGAGUUGUAAACUGCUUUUGUACGAGGGUAAACGCAGAUACGCGUAUCUGUCUGAAAGUAUCUUACGAAUAAGGAUCGGCUAACUCCGUGCCAGCAGCCGCGGUAAUACGGAGGAUUCGAGCGUUAUCCGGAUUUAUUGGGUUUAAAGGGGGCGUAGGUGGGCUGAUAAGUCAGUGGUGAAAUUCUGGGGCUCAACUGUGGAAUUGCCUUUGAUACUGGUCGGCUAGAGAGUAGUUGAGGUAGGCGGAAUGUGUGGUGUAGCGGUGAAAUGCUUAGAGAUCAUACAGAACACCGAUUGCGAAGGCAGCUUACUAAGCUGCCUCUGACAUUGAGGCACGAAAGUGUGGGGAGCAAACAGGAUUAGAUACCCGAGUAGUC